rnacentral:rRNA from 1 species
ACGGGUGAGUAACGCGUGGGAAUCUACCGUACCCUACGGAAUAGCUCUGGGAAACUGGAAGUAAUACCGUAUACGCCCGGAAGGGGAAAGAUUUAUCGGGGUAUGAUGAGCCCGCGUUGGAUUAGCUAGUUGGUGGGGUAAAGGCCUACCAAGGCGACGAUCCAUAGCUGGUCUGAGAGGAUGAUCAGCCACAUUGGGACUGAGACACGGCCCAAACUCCUACGGGAGGCAGCAGUGGGGAAUAUUGGACAAUGGGGGCAACCCUGAUCCAGCCAUGCCGCGUGAGUGAUGAAGGUCUUAGGAUUGUAAAGCUCUUUCACCGAUGAAGAUAAUGACGGUAGUCGGAGAAGAAGCCCCGGCAAACUUCGUGCCAGCAGCCGCGGUAAUACGAAGGGGGCUAGCGUUGUUCGGAAUUACUGGGCGUAAAGCGCACGUAGGCGGAUAAUUAAGUCAGGGGUGAAAUCCCGCAGCUCAACUGCGGAACUGCCUUUGAUACUGGUUAUCUUGAGUAUGGAAGAGGUAAGUGGAAUUGCGAGU